AGUAACACGUGAGCAACCUGCCUUUCAGAGGGGAAUAACGUUUGGAAACGAACGCUAAUACCGCAUAACAUUGGGAUAUGGCAUCAUGACCCAAUCAAAGAUUUAUCGCUGAAAGAUGGGCUCGCGCCCGAUUAGGUAGUUGGUGAGAUAAUAGCCCACCAAGCCGACGAUCGGUAGCCGGACUGAGAGGUUGAACGGCCACAUUGGGACUGAGACACGGCCCAGACUCCUACGGGAGGCAGCAG
rnacentral:rRNA from 1 species